UUCCAUCCUCACAUCACAACCCUGAGGAGUGAGACCCACUAAUCUUUUUAUUUGCUACUCUAUCUUGUUUGACGGUGGAGUAAAAAGACUAGCAUAGUCACAAAAAAAUCUCUGCAUAGCUGAACAAAAAAAUUUAGGAACUCUAGUUGUAACUGAUUUUUGUCUUGCAAUGAGCAUGAAUCAUAGCCGCAACUUCCAUAAUUUCAUCGAGCUCGUUGAAAGAGGCUCAGGACGGAUUAGAGAGACGCUUGAUUACUUUGUUGGUUGUUUAGGACCUUGGUUUUACAGGAAUUAUGAGGAGAUCCGUAUCUGGUGUGAGAAAAACGCGGCUGUAUGUCUGGCAUUUAUAUUUCAGCUAGCAAUCGUAGUUAUAAAUAGCUUUCUUUUAGGGGAUGAAGUGGUUGUUCCGAGAUGGAAAGCUAGCUGGGUAGCAGGGAUGUCAAUAUUUGCCAUUAUCUUUCUUAUUUUAAAGAUUUUUGUGGAGAUAAAAAGAUUCAAGUUAACUCGGUGGAACAAUAAAGAGAUAUGGGUUUUCAUUACAACACAUGUUUUACAGUUUUUAAUUCCGCUGUUAUAUUUAUUACUAGCGUAUGCUUAUUUGACGGGGCUUGAUACAAGUAGUCAUCACAUGGAAAGUAACUGGAAAGUGAUUGCAUCUGGUAUAAAAGCUUGCAUCAAUGUAAUAGGAAGCCUGCUAUCCUUAAUUGGUGCAAUAUAUUAUUGGACACCAGAUGACCACCAAAGUAUUGCGUUUCCAGCAAAUGUUGGUAAUUCUACCGUUGUCGAUGAAGAUGUAUUACAAGCAGUUGUACCUGUAGAUGCGGACAAUCAACUUAUUUCAUAUGCAAAGGUAGAAGUGUUGGUACAAAGGGAUGAGGAGAAUAAACCGGUUCGAGUGGAGAGUCCACAUGUUGCAUAUACGGAUUCGGAAGUGGUAAAGAUGCCUAUGGAUCGACCUUUUGAGGCUGCAAAUUCGGAAGUGCUGGUACAGAGGAAUGUUAAUCGAGUUGUUGCACAUGUAUCGCAAGCUGCGGUCCAAAGCAAUGUGAAGAAUCAACCUACUGCAGAUGCAAAUUUGGAUAUGGUGAUACAAGGGAGUGUGGAGAAUCGGCCUGGUGCAGAUGUUUUGGAAAAUCAACCUUGUACAGUGCGGGAUGUGGAGAAUCAACCCAGUACAGUGGGGAGUGUGGAGAAUCAACCCUGUACAGUGGGGAGUGUGGAGAAUCAACCCUCUAGAAUUGUGAAUCUGGAAGUGGCGGUAAAGAGAGAUAGGGCGGACCGACAUUUUGAAAAUGCAUCGGAGGUGGUGGAACAGAGGAAUGUGGACAAUGAAGCUGUUGCAUAUGCAAAUUUACUAGCGGUGGUUCAUAUACAUGUGGAAAAUCCACCUGUUGCGUAUGCAAAUUCGGAAGUGGUGAUGAAGGAUAAACCUGGUGGGAGUGUAUGAGAAGCAGGGGCACAAAGGGAUUCAGAAUUAGAGGAAGAGAGGGGUGUGGAGACUGGAGAAUCAACCUGUUGCAAAUGUACCCGAAGUGGUGUAGAGAAUAAAACCAUUGUUGAUGCAAAUUGGUUCCUACUUCAGAGGAGGUUUAGUACAUUUAUACACUAUAUCCACAGCCAAAAAAGCAAAACCAAUAAAAUUUCCAAUUGCCAUGAGAAAUAAACCAUAAGAUAUGUUUUCUGGGUUGUAGAGGAAGAGGAGGCGACAGCAAUGAAUGUCGGUGAUUAAUAGAAAAGAAGCUAGAGCUAACAACGCAGCAUAUCU